rnacentral:rRNA from 1 species
UUAGCCUACGGGAGGCAGCAGUGGGGGAUAUUGCACAAUGGGGGGAACCCUGAUGCAGCGACGCCGCGUGGGUGAAGAAGCGCCUCGGCGCGUAAAGCCCUGUCAGCAGGGAAGAAAAUGACGGUACCUGACUAAGAAGCCCCGGCUAACUACGUGCCAGCAGCCGCGGUAAUACGUAGGGGGCAAGCGUUAUCCGGAUUUACUGGGUGUAAAGGGAGCGUAGACGGAUAAGCAAGUCUGAUGUGAAAAUCCGGGGCCCAACCCCGGAAUUGCAUUGGAAACUGCAUAUCUAGAGUGUCGGAGAG